AGAUAAGAAGUGAUAUUAUAUGAGAUGUGAUUAUGAUGUGAGUAUUUGUAUUGACGAGUAUUUGAUUUUGGAAAAUUAUUUUUUAGAGUUGUUUUAUUUUGUCACAAUUAUUAUGAUCGUUGAAUUGAGGAUUUGAUUUGAGUUAGGUUUUGAUUUAUGUUAAGCUUGUAGAUAAUUUGAGGUUUGUGUAUUGAUGGCAUACUAUGAUAAAAUGAAAAUUAUUAAGUAUAGAGGGUUUCUUGUAAUUUGAGUUGUUGAUAUUCGAGGUAAUUAGAAUAAUCAGUUUGAGUUAAUGAUCAAUUUUGUGGUUAUUUUCUUAUAGGAUAUUGGAGUUAUGUCCGAUGAAGCUACUUUGUGAUAG
rnacentral:lncRNA from 1 species